GAUGAACGCUGGCGGCGUGCCUAAUACAUGCCAGUCGAGCGAACGGACGAGAAGCUUGCUUCUCUGAUGUUAGCGGCGGACGGGUGAGUAACACGUGGAUAACCUACCUAUAAGACUGGGAUAACUUCGGGAAACCGGAGCUAAUACCGGAUGAUCUUUUGAACCGCAUGGUUCAAAAGUGAAAGACGGUCUUGCUGUCUCUUAUCGAUGGAUCCGCGCUGCAUUAGCUAGUUGGUAAGGUAACGGCUUACCAAGGGAACGAUGCAUAGCCGACCUGUGAGGGUGAUCGGCCACACUGGAGCGUAGACACGGUCAAGACGCCUACGGGAGGCAGCAGUAGGGAAUCUGCCGCAAUGGGCGAAAGCCUGACGGAGCAACGCCGCGUGAGUGAUGAAGGUCUUCGGAUCGUAAAACUCUGUUAUUAGGGAAGAACAGAUGUGGAAGUAACUGUGCACAUCUUGACGGUACCUAAUCAGAAAGCCACGGCUAACUACGUG
rnacentral:rRNA from 1 species